rnacentral:rRNA from 1 species
UGAACGCUGGCGGCAUGCUUUACACAUGCAAGUCGAACGGUAACAGGCCGCAAGGUGCUGACGAGUGGCGAACGGGUGAGUAAUGCAUCGGAACGUGCCCAGUCGUGGGGGAUAACUACUCGAAAGAGUAGCUAAUACCGCAUACGAUCUAUGGAUGAAAGCGGGGGACCGUAAGGCCUCGCGCGAUUGGAGCGGCCGAUGUCAGAUUAGGUAGUUGGUGGGGUAAAGGCUCACCAAGCCAACGAUCUGUAGCUGGUCUGAGAGGACGACCAGCCACACUGGGACUGAGACACGGCCCAGACUCCUACGGGAGGCAGCAGUGGGGAAUUUUGGACAAUGGGCGCAAGCCUGAUCCAGCAAUGCCGCGUGCAGGAAGAAGGCCUUCGGGUUGUAAACUGCUUUUGUACGGAACGAAACGGCUCUGGUUAAUACCCGGGGCUAAUGACGGUACCGUAAGAAUAAGCACCGGCUAACUACGUG